GCUGGGACCCCGAUCUUCGACGCACUUAACCACGAGGAAAGCUUUCAGUGGGACUGACUUCCUCGUAAGUGUGUCUCGGAUAGGUAUACUUAUUUGGAGGCGAAUUUGGCAGAUGAGAGGGGGCUUCUUUCCACGUUCCUUUAGGGCGCUGAGUGUCAAGCUAACAUAGCAUUUGUGCUGGAAGAAAACAGCUAGGUGUGUAUGCUUCGGAUUUUUUUUGCAGCCGGGAAACGUUUGUCUGUCUAUCAGCUUUGCUUGGAAGGCUUGUUAAAGAGAUAACUAUUUUCUAGAAAGGACGGUGUCCGCAGUUUCUGGGCGCGCCUGAAGGGACCUAAUCCUAAUGGAAGGAAAUUUGGCUUCAUCAGCCUAAGGUGCAAUGAGCUACAUUUUCUACCUUAGCACACACACACACACACACACACACACACACCAGAAGUCAUGGUUUUAGUUGGAUCCCUUCCUCCAACCAGACUUUCCUGAUUGUCGACACUUUUAUCUGGGAAGUAAGUUUCAUGAUGUCUGUGAGGCCUGUUUCUAAGGAGUUAUGUGGGUCCUUUCCAUGUUUCCGCUUUCGGGGUGCUAGCUAGGUUUAAAAUUUGUUCACUUGGCUCUCCCCGUGGUCAAACGAGCUGCUCUCUUUUGCUGUCGCUAUCCCGGGGGGAGGGCUCAGAUCCGUCGUUUUCUUGAGAUCUAACGCUUUGUGAGGCCGCUUGGUUUCCCUUUGGUAACGUCACCAGGAAGGUCUUUCCAUUUGGAUAAUUUUCUUCUGUCUGUAAACGUUUCGAGCUCUCUAGGCUAGCCCAGAAUUUUGCUGAGUCGGGAUGUCGGAGGGUCACCCUUCUUUGUGUGAAGACGUGUCUUUGAAACCAUAAUGAAAGGAUUCAGAAGUACGGACACCUUGAUGGGACCUGUGGAAGCUGGGAGGCGUCGCGGGGGGACGGUGGCUGGGAUGGUGGGGCUGUAACACCUCAGAGGAGUAACUGAGGUCUGAGACCUUCUGUAAUUGUUAGCGACCUGCUAACCGGCUUACUCCAAGACUCUUCCUAAUCCGAGCUUUGGAUCGGAUUUCUGCUUUUGUUUGUUAGCUAGAAGACACCCCCAUCCUUAUUUUUGGCCUUUCCCUUUGAAUGGGGCAGUACUGUUGCGAGUAUAAGAAUGGUUAAAGAGACAGGGACAACUCCUAACCCACUCCCCACCCAACAACUCAAGUUAAACAACCCAAGCCGCUUUUGUAGCUUUCUCUGUCGGCCGCCUGUUUUUAGUUUUUUUUUCCUGAAUGAGGAUGAUGAAAAAUUAUUUUCCCAUGGGGGUGGGUGGAUAUGGAGUUCACUAUUAGUGCUGAGAUCCGUUUCCCUUACAAGUGGAUGGGCAAUUUUGCAAUACUUGGGCACGAUCCAGCCACAAUCAGGCAGCAAUCCUGUACCUACUUUCCUGGCAGUAAAGGACACUGAACUCGAUGGGAAUUCCUUCUCGGUAGACGCGGAUAGGAUUAUUUUCUUUGGAUUUGCACUGAAAUCUGUAGGUGGAUCCAAAACUUGUUACCCGAGAGGGAAGGUCCUCUGGCUUCAGUGCGAUUCCUUAGUAAGUAUGUGUAGUUUGGCAACCUCAAAAGUAGUCAACAUUGCCCCGAUGGUGUCUUCAACGCGGACCAAAUGCAGCUGCGUGGAUCUGGUUUCCAACAGUUCUUCGUUUACUGUUUCUGUAUGUUGAUUUCGAGGUUACUAGUGGAUGAGAAAACUUCUCACCCGCCCACUCCAUAGCAGCUUAGGCCACCAGUCUCUAGGAAAGACGUGAAACUGAUUUUAAGGAAAUUUAGUUGCAUUUCUCAAGCUGAAUGAAUGACUGCAGAAUUUCUGAAGUGGUUUGGGGUAAAGAAAGCCAAGCGAAAAGACGUCGAAACCUUCCGCACCUUUGAAAGCAUAACCCUCAUCAUAGUAAAAUAAGGCCCUAAUUCGACUUUCGGGUAGAGUCUGGUAGUUUCACAGUACUUCGGUCGAAACAGAAAGCUGUUCAGAAUAAUCAGAGUUACUCAUUUCAUGGAAUUUUCAAACUAGUACCAGAAGCGCCUAGCAUUUCCGCCGUAAGCGCUUCGGGUGCAUAGAGUUUCAGACAGAUCUCUCUCUCUCUGUCCCUCCAUCUUUCUCCCAGCUUUAAGAAAAGGGUUUGGAACUUUGGAACCAUAUUGGUCAAUUUCUUGUUGCGAUGACUGGCGUGUUUUGGGAAGGACUACUCAGGUGCAGCUUAAAUGCAGAGGUAUCACUGAAAUCGAAAGAAAGUUUUCCUGUCUGCCUUCCCAUAUUAUACCGAUAUUUAUGUAAUAUAGUUAUAAAUAUGAAUUUUGGACGGGCGAUAAAGCAAAGGGCUAGUUUAACCAUUUGCCAAGCGAUCUGGAGACUUCAAUCUUAUGCACACCGACUUGGGGGCCGAAUUCCGUGGGUUCUACGUGGGCCCAGUGGGUUUCACUCGCCCACUAAAGUCAGUAAGACUUGGAUUAAUUUUGUCUGCAUGGUGCCCGAAAUCAGGUGUGUUAAACUCUGUCGAAGUUCCAGUGGUGAAUAAGAAGUCGGAACCUCGCCUGGAUAGAAAAUAUCUUGUUUCGAUUUCAAACCGUGUAAAACAACAAGCUUCCUCAUAUGAAGGGAAGCUAUGCAGCUGUAGGUUUUUAAGUGGUAUUAGCUUUGGAAUAGUCCAUCGUAACUUUAUUAUAAACUUUCGCUCUUUCCCCCUUCCCAACUACAAACAUGUAAAGAAGCACGCUUCUAAGGCUACAAUACUACCUGGAAUUAAACUCUACUGAAUUCAGUGGGUCUUACUUCAUAGGUUUGAAUUGUUAAAAAACAAGAUUAUAAGCACCCAGAACAAAGUCUUAACAAAAAAACAAACUACUAAUUCCAUGUUCGGGUGAGAACUUUUGGUCCUUCGGCUACACAGCUUCUACUAAUUAUAAGAAAGAAUAGUGUCUAUCCUGUUAACAAAAAAGGGGGAUUUUCUAGUAAUAUUUCCACUUAUUAGAGAGUAAAUAUGGUCACAGCAUGUUCAGGGUUUCAUUUAGGGGCAAAUAACAGAUGGUAUUACAGCUCACUUCCUUCACUCCGGUUGACAACCCAUGUCGAGAAAAAUAUUUGACCCCCGCCCCGCCAAAAUAAUUUAGAAGGUGAGGGCUUCAUUCUGCCCCUUCUAAAUCAACGACGUUUUCCUACAGAUUUCUAAGCAAGUAGGAUUGCAGCUCUGUCGUCAGAUUCCAUGCAUAAAUCUACCUGUUUAGUGGUACUUCCUGGCAGCCCAGUGUGCAGGAGACUGCAUGCUUUCAAAUGUCCUUACACCCAAGGAAUUUGGGUCAACGUUGAAUGGGCUGUAAGGCUUAAAGGUGCGCAUGCGCUUAGGUACAGGUCUCUUCAAGUGAUGCUAACUAGUGGCAAACCAUAUACCAUCACCGCGAUAUCUUAGUUUAAGAAAAAGUAAUCAAACCCAGAAUAUGCUUAUAAACAACCCCUACUACAGCCCCUAUAAACAGAAAUAUCUUGCUUUAGUUAGGAUUGGGGCGGUGCAUUUAAGAAUGCAGGUUUAUGUUGGAAGUAAGUCCCACUGUUUUCAAUGGUGCUUAUUCCCAGGAAAAUAUAAAAGGGUGGUAGCUUGUAACUGCACUUCUAUGCACAAUAAGCUUAAUUAAAUACAGUGGAUUUAGCUUUAUGUACGCGUAGGAUAACCUUGUACGCGUAGGAUAACCUUGUAGGAUAAUCUUAAUAUAAAGCAUUUAAGACGAAAUCCUAGAUUUGAAUUCUACUAUUUAGGUUUAACUGCAUCGUUGGUCUGGGCGUAAAAGGACCACUUCCACUUAUGUAAUUCCAUUGAUGGCUAUGGAACUACUCUUUACACGUUAGCCACUAACCCUUACCUACCCUGGUUUGUCUUAAUUGAUCUGAGAAUGUAAUAGUAUACCCGUUUAUUAUAGUAUUUCCGCAGGUUGUACAACCCUGAAAGUGAAUCUGAACCCUGGAAGAUAAUUUCAUUAUACAACCACCCUUGAAUAAAUUAAGUGGGAGUACCUUAUGUACCUUAUAUGCAUAUUUUAAUCAGGUAUACCACGGGUAUGCAUAAUUACCGCCGUCUAAUUGAAUUUGACGCACCCAGCUAUAGAUGUGUGACAUGUAAAAAUAUUUUGUCACUAUAUGGACAUGAACUGCUUCCUGCAGAUUCCAAAUAUUUUCAUCGCUCCUCGUCAUUCUGCGCUUGAAAGGGUCAUCGUUUGGAGGAAAGAACCCCAACCCCUCCUCCCUCCCUCCCUCUCACUCACUCUCUCUCACACAGAUCCCUCUGGUAAAAGUAUUCAUUAAUAUUCAUAGUGUGGGCGAUGGAUCAUUUAUGCAUCCUAACCGCGCCGCUACACACUUGUCCAUUCUGAAGCGCACGAGUGGCACCGACCAAUCAGAAGCUGAGAGAAAGCUGGACCAGAGUUCUAGCGGGGAGGAGGAGGAGGAGGAGGAGUGUGGACAAGAUAAAGGAAGAAGGCAGGAUGGACAAAAGCAGGAGGGGAAGGCAGGAGCGGGCAUAUGUCCGUCUUAAGUCCUACCAAACGGUUACAUUUCUCACCCCUUGCCAUUCAAAACUCAUUUUCCAAGCUCCCCGCGCUUGGAGAGAUACCAGCUGCUUUCUGAAGUUGCCAGGAGGCCGCCGCAAGUUCCCUGCAAGGGCUCCGGGGACACUUUCUGGGGAGCAUUGCUGACGGGGGUGCCAACUUGAAUAAAAUAUUAUUUGGGGGGGCAGGUAAGCCGCGGCCCACAUAAUUGAUCACAGGAUGCGGCGCAUGCACACCGUUUCAAUGGCAAUGCCCAUCAACUUUGGGGGGGACCCUCCAAUAGUUUAUUGGGGGCCCGAAGGGACAUAGGCCCCUAGGAGUUGAUUUCUAUGAUUGCUGACCAGUCUGACUGGGGAGACGGUUGGCAACGCGCAAGGGAGUGUUGGCGCCCGCGAAUCCUCACAGGCCAGACCACGCCAGCCACCUAGGUACACACCACACAUUUAAAGCACAUGACUUCCGCAAAAGAAUCCCGGGAACUGUAGUUUGCUAAGGUUGUUGGGAUUUGUAGUUUUGUGAUGAGUAAGCUGUUGUUCCCAGCGGGAAAUCGCGUGCUUUAAAUGACUGGAGAAGUUUUCGCUGCUUGGAAUUCCAAAGGCGCUGAUCUGCAGUUUGUGGGGGAGAAUCUCUUGCGUUUCGGAGCCUUUUGGUACUUUCAUAAUAAACUGUCUGGACAGGAAAGCAGGUCCAUGCGCGUGACAUUAUUUUAGCCUCAUCCCCGGACAUUUACAAUGGGGGGAGGGGGAGAAUAGUAAUGGCCUUGCAAGCCUGAGAUAAAUGUGGAUGAAGCUCUCGGAAGAUUCCCAAGAGUUUGAGGAUGACGCCCCCUCUCCUGCAGACUCAAAUCUUCCUUGAGGUUUAUCCUGCUCUACCCUAUCCCCACUUUAUUUCCUCUUUUCUUACCCUCUUCCAUUUAUAGAUGAUAAGUUGUAUGGGCAGGGAAGUAAGGAUGUCACUGGUCAGCCCCUAGCAGCACCACGGUUUAUCUUCCUCCUGCUCAAUAUUUGAGAGGCAGUUUUGGGGUGUGGUAGUCAACACACAUUGCCUGUUCCUUGAGGUUAGGAGCUGGAAAUGGCAGGUGCGCGCGGGGGAGAGAUGGAGAUGAAGGAAAGGCGAGACGGGAGAGUGUUUGUGUUUCCAAGGCGCCGCCCCCUCCCCAGGCUGCCGUAAUUAUCUUGCUGAAAUAUUCUCCAGUGGCCAAAAGUUGCAAAAUAAAUCGACCUCUCCGCGCUAGUUCCAGAGGUCUGUAGCCAUCAUCCUUUUUUCAAUACAUUUUAAACAAGAGGCUCUAGCGAGCGACUCCGAUUCAAUACACAUAAUCAGUUUGGAAGUCUUAUUUCCAUUUGAAAACAGGCCUAUUUGCAAUCAUGAGAGCCGGACACGCUGAAAGAUACAGAAUAACGUGCCCGGGAGAGGGGAAGGUGGAGGGGGGGGGGGAGAGAGAGAGAGAGAGAGAGAGAGAGAGAGAGAGAGGAAGAACCGUCAGGCAAGCACUGAAGAUUUUGUGCCCCCUCCCAAUCCUUAUUUAUUUAUUUAAAACACGAGGCUGUAGCCAUGAGUCUUUUUAUGCAUUCCCUUGGAAAAUAUAACUUAAUUGCUUUUUCCACCGCUACCCCAAACCAGGACCAAAGCAAAACAAGCUGUGUAAUCCACAGCCAGGAAUACCUCCCGUCUCCCCAAAUGGUGAUUGGGAAAGUAUGUUGAUUGUUCUGCUAGCCUCUUAGGGUUAACAGGCAUUUAAUCAAGGGAAAGUACAACACGGGGAAAUGGUUUGGGGCAAAAUGCUAACUUGGUUUGUAAUAACGCGUUGUCCUUGAAUACUGCGACUGAAAGGAAGUUUGCAAGGGGUGAGGAAGGACUGGGGUGUGUGGGAAAUGAUCGCCUUUGUGGCCGAAAAGCCAUCUGCAGAACUAGUAGGUCGUCCUCCACCAGGAUGCGAUGUUAGAAUAAUAGAAUCAUGGAGCUGGAAGAGACCCUGAGGGUCAUCUAGCCCAACCCCCUUGCAAAAUGCAACAAUAUGCAGCUGUUCCAUAAGGAGUUCGAGCCUGCGACCUUGGCGUCAUCAGCACCACGCUCUAACCACCAGAGUUGUUCUUUCCCUUUUGCACCUUGAGCCUACAGAGAUUUCCUUUAGCAAAGAAGUUCGGCUGAAAUCAAGGGUGGAAAGGAGUAUGUUUAGGAGGGUUUUGCUGGCUGAGUGUGCGUGAGAGAUGGGGAGAGGGAAAACGGGAGUGCGCACACUCGCGAGUGCGUCGAGAUGUGCGCUGGGUAACUCUCGGAGCUUGGUGUAGCGAAGAUGACGCCAGAAAGGGCAGGAUUCCUUGAAUGGAUAUGAUAUGUCUGCCAAAUGGUGCUUCACAAACUCAUUCAGCCUAGAGGCGAUACUGCAAGGCUUUAUAUGGGAAAGAGGGAAGGGGGAUGGGUGGGAG
rnacentral:lncRNA from 1 species